rnacentral:rRNA from 1 species
UACGUAGGGUGCGAGCGUUAAUCGGAAUUACUGGGCGUAAAGCGUGCGCAAGCGGCUUUGCAAGACAGAUGUGAAAUCCCCGGGCUUAACCUGGGAACUGCAUUUGUGACUGCAAGGCUAGAGUACGGCAGAGGGGGAUGGAAUUCCGCGUGUAGCAGUGAGAUGCGUAGAUAUGCGGAGGAACACCGAUGGCGAAGGCAAUCCCCUGGGCCUGUACUGACGCUCAUGCACGAAAGCGUGGGGAGCAAACAGG